GGAUGCAGUACUAGAACUCAAGCAGGU
rnacentral:misc_RNA from 1 species